rnacentral:rRNA from 1 species
UACAGAGACUGCAAGCGUUAUUCGGAUUCACUGGGCGUAAAGGGUGCGCAGGCGGCCGUGUGUGUGAGGCGUGAAAGCCCGGGGCUCAACCCCGGAAUUGCACCUCAAACUACAUGGCUAGAGCAUUGGAGAGGGACACGGAAUUCCGGGUGGAGUGGCGAAAUGCGUAGAGAUCCGGAGGAACACCAAAGGCGAAGGCAGUGUCCUGGGGAGUACCUGACGCUCAGGUGCGAAAGCCAGGGGAGCAAACGGG